ensembl:rRNA 5S_rRNA 5S ribosomal RNA
GCCAGCAGCCAUAUCACCCUGCAAUUCACAACUGGCAACCCACUGAAGCUAAGCACGUGUGAGCCUGGUCAGUACCUGGAUGGGAGACCUCCUGGGAAUAACUAAGGUUGCUGCUGGAA